rnacentral:rRNA from 1 species
UACAGAGGGUGCGAGCGUUGUCCGGAAUCACUGGGCGUAAAGGGCGCGUAGGUGGCCCGGUCAGUUCGUGGUGAAAGCGCGGGGCUCAACUCCGCGUCGGCCAUGAAUACUGCUGGGCUGGAGCACUGUAGAGGCAGGCGGAAUUCCGGGUGUAGCGGUGGAAUGCGUAGAGAUCCGGAAGAACACCGGUGGCGAAGGCGGCCUGCUGGGCAGUGGCUGACACUGAUAGACGAAAGCUAGGGGAGCAAAUGGG